rnacentral:rRNA from 1 species
GAUGAACGCUGGCGGCGUGCUUAACACAUGCAAGUCGAACGAGUGGCGAACGGGUGAGUAACACGUGAGCAAUCUGCCCCUGACUCUGGGAUAACAGCUGGAAACAGCUGCUAAUACCGGAUAGUCAGGGAUGAGCACGCGGCCUAUCAGCGUGUUGGUGAGGUAAUGGUCACCAAGGCGCGACGUGUAGCCGGCCUGAGAGGGUGACCGGACACACUGGGACUGAGACACGGCCCAGACUCCUACGGGAGGCAGCAGGGGGGAUUAUUGCACGAUGGGCGAAAGCCUGAUGUAGCAGCGCCGAGUGAGGGACGACGGCCUUCGGGUUGUAAACCUCUUUAAGCAAGGAAGCGGUACUUGCAGAAAAAGCGCCGGCUAACUACGGGCCAGCAGCCGCGGUAAUUC